GUGUCCUUUUAAAUUGCCACAGUACUUUGAAGAGGCUAACACAGAAGGGUAAAGGACAGAAGUCUCCGUAAAGCCCAGAGAAGAGAUAGCACGCCUCCUCCCAGGAUCUGGUCUGGCGUCACAGGC